UCCUUUGGUAAGAAAUGGGUUUGCAUCUGGGGCCACAUCCUCAUUCCCUGAGUAUGAUGGUGAAUGGUGCAUAGAACAGCAAACCUUGUAUGGUCUCCAAAAGACACAAAAAAAUUGAUUCUUCAGUACUCUUGAGCAUGUGGAGAUGGACUGGCACCCCUUCAGGGGACACCAUGGGUGCACAGCUGCAUGGCAGAACAAAGCAAUCCUCGCCACGGAGGAGCACAGCCGCACGGAGCAGCGCAUGCCUGCUUGCGAUGGGCUUUGCUGCAAAGGAGUCAGAAAAUCCAAGAUGAAAAGGCCCAUUUGCAUUUCUAUUUGUACCGUUUGAUGUUGGCUACCGAGUACAACUGGAACAAGCAGCACUUUAAAUAAUCUAGAAAAAACUAUCUAGCAUCCUGAGCGCUCCUGGAGUUGGCCUUUGUUUUUUUGUGUAUUUUUUUUUUUUUGCUGUUGUUUCGUAGGCAGCUCUGUGCCUGGUAGAGAAAAUGUGAUGGCAGCAUCACUAAGAGCUCAGGUGAGCAAAGCAGUGCUCCCGGAGAACAUGAGCCCAGCAGAUAAUCCGUCCGUCUGUCCAUCCUCCUCCUGGCUGUGUGCUUCUCCUCUCCCAAGGAAACACAACCCGCACGGCUGAAAUCAGAGCAGCCAAGCAGCUUGAGUGAGCCAAAAGCCCAGGGAGGAAAUGUGAUUUUUAUGAAAAACAUUGACUUAAGAAGAUGAUUGUGAGCACUUUGCUGAGUCCCACCUGAUUCACCCCUGUCCAAGGCUUCCUCUGAGCCUGUGCUCAGCAGCACGAUUCACACCCAGCUGGGAAACACGAGCACCGUGUGAUGGAAGGGGUGACUUAAUCACUUUUGCAUACCAUUUUUUUUUCCUGAGUUAAUUAAAAGUAGAAGUGCUCAUGUCAAGCACAGUGCCUCCGUGAGCACCACGUGCUCUUCAGCAACAUGUGGGCAAACAGGACUUAGUGCACUGGCCCAAUUUAGUGCAGAGUUACCAGCGACACCCUUUUUUCCAUCAAAACUGCAAGAUUCUUAAAUGCUUUCAGUAACUCCAGGCUGUUUUAGUGCCUUCCCCAGGUCUCCACCAAAAAGCCAAAUAGAGAAAAACCUCCGUACCCAUCUCACUGCCCUUAGAAGCUCAGAGCCCCUCUUGGUGCUACUGAGCAUAGGAGACUUUACAGCAAUUCUGGCUCCAGGGGAGCUGUCUGGAGUUGGACCUGUUGAAUAGGAAACCCCUAUAGUUCAGCCCUGAAAACAUCCACCUUACAUGCACCAGCAUAAAAGCUAGCUUUUAAACUUCAUUACCCUUUUCUUUGCUAGGUUUUGUGCUGCCUGCUGACAUUCUCAUCCCAGUACCAGUUUGAUUUUUAAGUCCCUGAUCAGCAGGUUUAUUACAUGAGGAUACGCCUGGAGACUUGUGGGGUUUGUGCCUUUUCUUGUAAUGCUGGGACUUCUCCCAGCAUGAAGGGAAGUGGCUCAGAGGCUGCCCUUGCCUGCGAGACCAAUUAUUUUCUAUCGCAAAAUUUCAGGUGGGUACGGGAUAUUUGUGGUGCUGUGGUGAGAAAUCAAAGUGAGCAAAAACACAGCGUGAGUCAUUACCUUGUAAAUGAAAAAAAUAUGUAUAUAAUAAAAAUAAAAUAAAAAAUAAGUAAAAAAUCAAUUAAAUACAGAGCUGUUUCUUGGCAGAGCUCUCCCAAAACCUCAGGCAGCCCCUGGUGCUCUGGUCCUGAUCACCAGCUGACCCCCAAGCAGCAGCCAGUGAUGGUGGCAGAGAAAAACAUCUCCAAAUUGAUUGGUUUCCUGCGAUGUGAUCAAGAUGCACUCAAGGAGAGCAACUGCAGACCUUAUUUUUGGGGGAUUCGGAUCAAUACAAACACACAGCCUGAGCUUUUUAAGCCUUUAUUAGAGGAAGGGACAAGCAGUGCUCCUGGCUUGCUCUGCUUUGCUCCUCCAGCACGAGCAGUUCUGGCCUCUGCUCCUGAGCACGUAGCCACAGGAAAGCUGUAAGAAGCAAACGGGGUGAGUGGAAUUGCAGUUUGGUGGGUCCUCAUCUCAGCCAGCUGAACACACGUUGAUGUGCCAGGAUGACCAUUAGGACCAUAAAUGUCGCAGCAGGAAGGCGAGUCAACAGCACAUGGUUCCCCAAAAUUGUUAGGGUCUGCCAGCUUUGUUUGCACUGAAGGAGUGAUGGCCAAGGCUAUGGAGAGCUUUCAUCCAGAGGUGAGGACCUGCCAC